GGCACCGAACAUGAAGGACAAAACAGAAGGCGUCGUGGCAAGCUGGACUCACCUUGGUCCUGAUAAUGACCUCGUUUGUGAGCUUGUCAAGGUGAAGGAGUGCGUGCCUCGCAAAGUGUUGUCAUUGCAAACGGGAUGCGUGUUUGUUAGCUGAACAUACCCGUUUAUGUGCCUCGAUAGCAUAGCUUUGACUUUGUGUGUUGCAUGCUGAAGCUAGGUUAGCAUUGCGUCACAGUGAUGUAGUGUUGCUUUUAUGGCUCGUGGAUUUCAUGGUUUUAAAGGGAACGGUGUUCCAGAGGAUGGACCCUGCUGUUUGCAUUUUAAACUGAUUCUUCGCUGCUGUCUGAACUGCUGAUUAGCACCGAGUUAACUCUUUGAGGAAAACGAGGAGCCUGUUGCCUUAGCAACAGAUGGACGAGACCAGCAAGUCAGAUGCACGAUGGAGGAUGAGGGGGUUUUGGAUUCAGCCAGAACCAUUGUGAAUGGAGAAAUAUACACAUCCAAACUUCAUCUGCGUUUUCCAUCGUGGAAAUGAACCACGCCGAAGUAAUGUGCGAGGCCGCUGCUGGAUGUGAAGCAGCAGCUGCUCCUUAAGGCCACGGGAAUGCGAGCGAGGGCACCGCAGGGAUGCCUUCUCACAAUUGAGACGCUUUCAAGUACAUUUCCGUGCAGCGAGUGGAAAGUGAAACUGGAUCUAUUGUUCACCUUUUCCUCACACAUUGUGCAAUAAAUCAUGCUGUCCGUGGAGAUCGUCGCGGAAACGUAAUGAUCAUUGAAUUUGAGCAGUCGCUCUGGUCUAUCGCGUUGUCUGUUGAGAGCCAAUCAAUAGAUGCAUUUGUCCGACACGCACUCGGCCGCUCUCAUUUUCCCACGCAAAGGGAACAUUUGGAAGUAUAUUUCAGUAGCAGGGGCGGUCGAGUAAUACAAACGUGCAGCGUAAAUACGGAGAAAAUAGUUGACAUGAAGGUGCGGAAAGUUGCACGGCUGUGCGGUGUUUUAUUGGAGUUUUGAAGAGGUUUCAGCAGCCCCAUGUCAAUCAAGUGAGUCUUGUGAAGCCAUCUUGUAGAAAAUGUUGCUUCUUCAAACGUGUCCACUUGGCAGCUUGGCUGGCAUGCUUUCAAAGUGGGGCAUUUGCUGCCUCCAAAUGCAAAAUCUGGCAGAAAGGUGACAUGAACCUCUUGACUCCCCGCUCUUUCUUCUCUCCUCUCUUGUUGUCAGCAAAAACUAUGUCAUCAGUAUUGUUAUAUUGUUAAAGAUGAUGCACGUUUGCAAGUAUAUGUUGCUUCAUAACUUAAAGGUUGUAGUGUUUCUGGAUACAUUUUAAGGUAGAUUCAUUUUCAUUUUGGAUCUUUCAUGCCUGUAAAAACGCUGUCAAGACUGUAAACUACGUCACCAUUAGUUAUUUGCCUACAUUUUGUACCGUUGGGUAAAGAUUUAAAAGAUUUUUCUGUUCAUCUUUUCAUUUUUUUUUUUUUUAUUUCAUUUUAAUAAAACAAUAUUUUCAGUAUGAAUGGUUUAAUUUUCAAAUUAAUAGGGAUCAAAUGAUAUGAAAACAAAUCAUGAUCAUUUUUCUGUCAUAUCACUUAGUCACUGAAGUGGCCGUCGUCGGGUGUGACAGAGGAGUUUAGCGUAGAGGUGGGAGUGCAUCAGGGAUCAGCUCCGAGCCCCUUCCUGUUUGCAAUGGUGACGGAUAGGCUGACCGAUGAGCUUCGACGAGAAUCCCUUAUGAACCAUGAUGUUCACAGAUGACAUUGUGAUUUGCAGUGAGAACAAGGAGUCGUCGGAGAGCAUUUAGAAAGGUGAAGUCGUGUGCUCGAAAGAAUAUGAAUGAUUAGCCCAAGACAGACAGAAUAUACAUGAAUACAUAAAUGGGUGAGGGGGAAGAGAUGGUGAGGGUGGAGGACUUGGGGUCAAUGGUGAGUGUGGAGAAAUGUGUCCAAGCAGGUUGGAACUGGUGGCGGAAGGUGACAGAAGAGUCUCUGCUAGGAUGAAGGGCAAAGUUCAGAGGACAGCGGUGAGGCCGGCCAUGAUGGACGCAUUAGAGACAGCAGGAAGCCGAGCAAAUCAAGAUGUUGGAGAGGAUUAGAAAUGAGCUCAUCAGAGGGUCGGCCGAUGUUCGAUGUUUUGGAGACGAAGUUGGAGAAAGCAGAGAUGGCGAGUA